GGUAUAUCUGAAUUUUAGGUAAUCACGGUGAAAGCCCGUGGCUGUGCCGCAACUGUAAAGCCAGAAAACUAUAUUUAGGUCAAAAAUCCCGUGCAGGAGUCAUGAACAAAUUUUUCAAAAUAAUC
rnacentral:ncRNA from 33 species